UGCCUGGGGCUGGAGCGAGGAGCCCAUUGGGCACGACCGCACCAACCCUAGCUCCCGAUCCACAGCCACGCACUCCUCCCUCCUCCCUCUCACAGCCGCCACACCCCAUUCCUCUCUUCCUCCUCCCUACUCCUUCCCGGAUCCCUGCCACCGCCACACCCACUCGUCUCCUCCUCUCUCUUCUAGCUAACGCCUCCUUCCUGAUCUCUGCGUCAGCCGUAGCGCGAGAGGAGCAGCGGCAGCGGAGAUGCUCCGAUGGCGGCGUCGAGUUGCGAAGCGGCGGCGCCCGGGCGCGAGUCGACAGAAGCCGGAGCGGCUACUCCGGGCCCCGAUCUGGGGGGGUUUGGUUCCAGGGCACCGACAGCUUCUUUGUCUAUGACGCGGGGCCGUGUCGCCGGGGGAAGCCUUGGAUCCAUGCAGGGGGGCUCCCCGGGGGGCGCAGAGGAGGGGGUUGGACGAGCGGGUGAGGAUGCGUGAGGCCAGAAGGAGUUUGGGGUUGCCAGAGAAGCAUAGCCCGCACGGGGGCUAGUCAUCGCCAGAGCAGAGGGGAGGAGGUCGAUGCAGGGGACGCCAUGGAUGGUCGGGGCGCUGGCUCCUCCUUUCCCCGUGCCACGGCUGCCCAGAUCCGGCGAUCCCCUCCCACUCUGGCAUCCAGGUUGGUUGACUCGAUCUCUCAAUCACCCCACCGCCGCGCUGCACACCGUCGUCAAGGACCAAGCCGCCGCCGCCACAGUGUCCUCCUCCUCGGUGGCCGCGGGUGCCCUGGCCGCCAAGCUGCCCAUUCUUAUCUUUCUGGAGGCAAUCUGGUAGUGCUGAGCGCACGGUGAUGCUGUCACGGUAUCCCCCUCCCCGGUGUUCUUAGAUCCAGCAGUAGCUCAACGCAGGAAAGCCGGUUGUGCUCGAUCUGCUCCCCUCCUUCGCCUCACAGGCUCAGCAAGCAGGAACAAUGUUAGCUCUGUUUCUCCCACUCCCCUCCCCCCUCUCCCUCCUAUAGAUUUCUCUCUAAUGGCAACGCCUAUGGGUUCGGUGUAUCAUAGCUUUUUUUUUCUUUCUUCCAACUGAAGCCUGCUCUCAUUAUGCCUGCCACCUCUCUAUGAGAUCAGUAGGUUUGAUCGCCUUGUCUGCAAUUUGGCUGAUUCCAGUUAGUAUUCUUGUUCUUUAUGGGAGAUACGAGUUUGGAUGUAGCUCACUGGCCAGGAGAACCUGCGAUGCCAGCAGACCAAUCUAGAUCUGCACGUGUUGAAUAUGCAAACAGUUAUGUAAUAUGUGCAGUUUACUUGCUCUGUUUUUACGGGGAUUUUGGAAUUUUCCAUACAUGCAUGUCCCAGAUCCGUUCUGUGAUUUCCAUUAUCUAUUUACUUGUGACCCAAGUGUGUCUUAUUUCCAUCUUUCUUUGUCUUGAUAUAGCUGAAGGUCAACUGCUAGCCCAUCCGUGCAAUUCACUAAUUUAAUUAUGCCUGCUUGCUCGAAGUCUAUUUUAUAGAUGGCCGGCAUAUUAUCGUGGGAGGUGUUUAACUGUUUUCUCUGGAAUAAACUGAAAGCUGGUUAUUUUGAAAAUGCAUCAUACCGCGCUGAUUUAUAAUAAGAUUGUUACGCAUCAUCAGUUUUUGGCAUAUGCUUUUGAAUUAUAUAUCGCCAUGCCAAGUUGCCAACUAACUGAUACAUGGUUAUGGUUGAGGAACAAUGUUGAGCAGUACAAGGUUACACCAUCACAGUUCAAACACAUCUUUUUUGGUUGAUAGUUUUUGAGAUAGCUUACUGCUUAUGCCCAAUGGGAGUUUAAUUGGGCAUCUUUAAUAUUCUAAGAAUCACACCGGCGCAGCACACUUAGGUUGUUUCCAGAUCUGAUGUUUGUCUAAGUCACCAAGUUAACCCACAAGAAUUUGUUUACUUUCUUGGCUAUUGUGGUUAAAGGCAUCCUUUUAUUAGAGCUAUAUAUAGUUUUUGGACAUGUUCCAGUUUGGUUAUUUUUUUAUGGAUUUUGAAUAUGUUUCAAUUUGAUCACUUUUGAGACUCAGUUAGAACAGAUAAUUUUUGUUUCUUUACCAUAUAGUUCCUAAUCAGAAAAGCCUCAUCUGCAGGUUGGAGGCAUUGGCGUGAAGGUGUCAUGAGUUAUCUGCAAGGGCAUUGUUGUGACGUGCUCCUCCAUGUCUCCCGCGAGUUCUUGGUGUGGCGAUCAUGGCUCCAGAGAGCAUAAAAUGUAUGCAUUGGAGGUGGUAGCAUUGCUAAAGAUCUACAUAUUGUAGCAGUAGUUUUUACUGUGAAACAUAAGCUCUUUUUACAGUGCAAUUAUUAAAUUGUAGUAGUAGUUUUUCUUGCAGCUUGUAGUAGUAGUUUUUCUUGUCAAAAUCGGUCCUUUCUCUGUACUUGUUGAUCUUUUUAGUCUGAAUUUUCCAGCCAAUUCAGGAUUUUUGUUUUGCAACAUUAUGGACGAUGCAUGUCUUUUAUAUUGGCUUGGAUUGCAAGCUCUUCUUUACAUUGGUGACACAUAUGACCUACAGCGUUGAAUCAGUUGUAUUUUUGGUUGAAUUUCAAAUCAAAAGUCUUGAAUUACAGUUUCAGUUCUUUCUACUUAGCUUGGCAAUCAGUUAACUAUCCAAGUACAGCUUACUGAAUGGCAUGUGUUGUCAUGAAUGAAAGUUGGUCCAGUCCAACUUGUCAUUUUUUUAUUGGGUCUAAAAUUUGACUGAACCUGAACUGAAGUUUAGCUCAGCCUCAUUUGACAAACAGAUACACACACAACGUAGAAUAUAUAUAUACGUUCUUGAAUGAUAUGCUAUAUAUAUACCUUCAUCCACACUGUCUAUUACCAGUGCUUUUUGUUGUUGUCAGCGACAUCAUGGGUGCCGGUGGCAGAAUGACGGAGGAGCGGGAGAAGCAGGAGCUGCUCGGACACGCUAGCGCAAGUGAGAUCUUCCAGCAUGCGCCGACGGACAAGCCGGCAUUCAUGCUGGCCCAUAUCAAGGAGGCAAUCCCACCUCACUGCUUCCAGUGCUCGUUGAUCAAGUCCUUCUCCUAUGUGGUCUAUGACCUCGUCAUCAGCGCGUCCCUCCUGUACGCCGCGUUGGUCUGGAUCCCAACACUCUCGAGCAUGCAACAGUUGGGCGCCCGUCCGCUCUACUGGGUGCCUCAUUUUGAUUUUCUUACCUUGAGGGCUGCGACGAGGCAGACAGGUGGCGGGCGGCAACAAUAGGGGUUGGCGGAUGCUCCGAGACCAAUAGCCUACUUAGUGAUGGGAAGGAGGAUCCGACAAGUUAGCCCCCACAAUUGUGUUGUUGGAGAACUUCUGCGAGCUCAGUAAAAUAAUGAAUCUUCAUCUCCGAUGUUUUCUCUUGAAAAUGGAGCGCGGAUCGCAGGAGCAAGGAGCUGGUCGAGUGUAGUGAACAAGCAAUCAACGCGGCACAUUUGGAAGUUUUGAGAGAUGUGAAUGGCACCGGUCUUGUCAUACUAAUGAGCAGGAGCACCGGCCACAUUACUCUUCAUGCCACUCUGAGCAGUCGGCUGCUGCUUGAGAUUGAUUUCCAUGUUCAAGGGAAGGGAGACCGGAUUGAGUUCCUGUAUAUGCAAUAAGAAGGGGCAUUGUCGUGGUUGUUGCUGAAGGUGUUGGUCAGGAGCUGAUUACCGGGACUGAUGUAUGUCAACAUGCUGUUCCUUAACGUUGGCCCUCUUCUAUAAAGUUCACAUGCAACUCUCCUCCAUGGUUAGAAAAAACUAAUUUAAACAUUUUGUUUCUUUGAUGGUUACUCAUUUCUCUUACCAUUGUUGUAUCAAAACAAUUGUAUUUUCGCUGAUGGCCGCUUGGGCUCAUUUUCGAAGAGAAUGAGAUGUGGAAUAAACUACUCUGAAAUGGUUGGUUCCCU